rnacentral:rRNA from 1 species
AUUGAACGCUGGCGGCAGGCCUAACACAUGCAAGUCGAGCGAGCGGAGGACGGGUGAGUACUUUCUUGGGAUCUGCCCAGUAGCGGGGGAUAACUACUGGAAACGGUGGCUAAUACCGCAUACUAUCGGAUGAACCGCUAUGGGAUUAACUAGUAGGUGGGGUAAAGGCUCACCAAGGCGACGAUCUCUCGCUGGUCUGAGAGGAUGAGCAGCAACACUGGGACUGAGACACGGUCCAGACUCCUACGGGAGGCAGCAGUGGGUAAUAUUGCACAAUGGGCGCAACCCUGAUCCAGCCAUGCCGCGUGUAUGAAGAAGGCCUUAGGGUUGUAAAGUACUUUUGGCGGAGAGGCGUUAUCUGCAGAAUAAGCACCGGCUAACUCCGUGCCAGCAGCCGCGGUAAUUC